GAUGAACGCUGGCGGCGUGCCUAAUACAUGCAAGUCGAGCGAAUGGAUUGAGAGCUUGCUCUUAUGAAGUUAGCGGCGGACGGGUGAGUAACGCGUGGGAAACCUGCCCAUAAGACUGGGAUAACUCCGGGAAACCGGGGCUAAUACCGGAUAACAUUCUGAACCGCAUGGGUCGAAAUUGAAAGGCGGCUUCGGCUGUCACUUAUGGAUGGACCCGCGUCGCAUUAGCUAGUUGGUGAGGUAACGGCUCACCAAGGCAACGAUGCGUAGCCGACCUGAGAGGGUGAUCGGCCACACUGGGACUGAGACACGGCCCAGACUCCUACGGGAGGCAGCAGUAGGGAAUCUUCCGCAAUGGACGAAAGUCUGACGGAGCAACGCCGCGUGAGUGAUGAAGGCUUUCGGGUCGUAAAACUCUGUUGUUAGGGAAGAACAAGUGCUAGUUGAAUAAGCUGGCACCUUGACGGUACCUAACCAGAAAGCCACGGCUAACUACGUGCCAGCAGCCGCAGUAA
rnacentral:rRNA from 1 species